rnacentral:rRNA from 1 species
UACGAAGGGGGCUAGCGUUGCUCGGAAUCACUGGGCGUAAAGGUGCGUAGGCGGGUCUUUAAGUCAGGGGUGAAAUCCUGGAGCUCAACUCCAGAACUGCCUUUGAUACUGAGGAUCUUGAGUUCGGGAGAGGUGAGUGGAACUGCGAGUGUAGAGGUGAAAUUCGUAGAUAUUCGCAAGAACACCAGUGGCGAAGGCGACAUACUGGUCCGUUACUGACGCUGAGGCUCGAAAGCGUGGGGAGCAAACAGG